GGGCGUGUCGCCAAGUGGUCUAAGGCCGUCGGCUCAUAACCGAUUUAUCGCAGGUUCAAAUCCUGCCACGCCCACCA
rnacentral:tRNA from 1 species